AACAGCUUUUGAUAUAAUCACCGAGGCUAGCUUAGCAGCUGUAUCUUUGUUUCUUGUAGCUGGCAUUCAAAUGCCCGUUAUAGGGAAAAUCGUUGUUGUUUCGGCGUUUAGCUCUCGUCUUCUUGUCGCGCUCCCAGCCUCCUUCCACUUACACUAUAUAAAAAAAAUGAUCGAGUCCUCAGAUUACACUCUGGUAGGCAGCUCCGUUACAGCCUAUCUCCAGUUAGAAUUGAGCUACGGCAUCAUGGCAAACACAAUCCCCUGCCUCAAACCCUUUAUGGCCGCAUAUGAGGAAACCGGCCGACCCUCUUACAGAAGCCGCAUCCACAGCCGCAAUGGAAGUCACAGCAAUAGUGGAAACAGCAAGGGCAGCCGCAGCCGCAGAUUCAGCCGUGACACAUUCUCCCUCUCGACGAUCGCAUCAACCAAGUCUAAAAGACCUUGGAUAAGAAAUUCAAUCAGCACAACAAUGGCCAGCGACAAUGUGUUACAACCACCUCCUCCCCUAUUGCGACAAAAAUUCCCUCCCAGGGACAAGCAACCACAAUCAUUGGGCCGCGAUGAGGUGAGGCGCGCUACGACAGCAAGGAUUGGCAGCCCGGGACGAGAAGGUUCAAACUUGGAGAAUUACAGCGGUAGACGGAUAAUUAUAAAAAAAGAUGUUAUUUGGAAUGUUGAGAGUUCGAAAUUUGC
rnacentral:sRNA from 2 species